rnacentral:rRNA from 1 species
AGAGUUUGAUCAUGGCUCAGGACGAACGCUGGCGGCGUGCUUAACACAUGCAAGUCGAGCGGAAAUAUAUUGAAGAUUUAUCGGAUAUAUAUUUUAGCGGCGGACGGGUGAGUAACGCGUGGGCAAUCUGCCUCACACAGGGGAAUAACACUGGGAAACUAGUGCUAAUACCGCAUGAAAUAGUGAAGUGGCAUCACUUUACUAUCAAAGGAGCAAUCCGGUGUGAGAUGAGCCCGCGUCCGAUUAGCUAGUUGGUGAGGUAACGGCUCACCAAGGCGACGAUCGGUAGCCGAACUGAGAGGUUGAUCGGCCACAUUGGGACUGAGACACGGCCCAGACUCCUACGGGAGGCAGCAGUGGGGAAUAUUGCGCAAUGGGGGAGACCCUGACGCAGCAACGCCGCGUGAAGGAUGAAGGUUUUCGGAUUGUAAACUUCUUUGAUUGGGGACGAUAAUGACGGUACCCAAAAAACAAGCCACGGCUAACUACGUGCCAGCAGCCGCGGUAAUAC